GAAGAAGAAGAAGAAGAAGAAGAAGAAGAAGAAGAAGAAGAAGAAGAAGAAGAAGAAGAAUUGUUAAAGAGCGUCACAGCUGUACAAGUGUUCAUCCUUUGUUUGUUGUUGCCCUUUUUACCCUCACUUAAAAAUGGCAUCCAAGCAACUGAAUGAAUGGCUAGAGGCAGGGAAAGCCCUCUCAGAUGAGUUGGCAAAUAAGGCAAGUACAACAUUAUCCAAAUAUGUAUUAUAACAUUUACUCUCAAAUGUUAAAAGACACACACAUUACAAAGAUUUGUAAUAACGCAAGGAUCAAAUAUGUCCUGGAGGAAGAGGGACCUGGAUGGGAACAUUCUACCCCAACAUUGGAAUAAGAAUCGAUCUGUUAAACCUUCCAGCUCUCUGGAGUCCCCAGAGGUCGAGGAGACACAUGAGAUUCCUCUACAGGUCCCAAGUCUUGGUA